AUUGAACGCUGGCGGCAGGCCUAACACAUGCAAGUCGAGCGGGGUUUUCGGACCUAGCGGCGGACGGGUGAGUAAUGCGUAGGAAGCUACCCGAUAGAGGGGGAUACCAGUUGGAAACGACUGUUAAUACCGCAUAAUGUCUACGGACCAAAGUGUGGGACCUUCGGGCCACAUGCUAUCGGAUGCGCCUACGUGGGAUUAGCUAGUUGGUGAGGUAAUGGUUCACCAAGGCGACGAUCCCUAGCUGGUUUGAGAGGAUGAUCAGCCACACUGGAGCUGAGGCACGGGCCAGACUCCUACGGGAGGCAGCAGUGGGGAAUAUUGGAUAAUGGGCGCAAGCCUGAUCCAGCCAUGCCGCGUGUGUGAAGAAGGCCUUCGGGUUGUAAAGCACUUUCAGUAGGGAGGAAGCGUUGUGUGUUAAUAGUACACAGCGUUGACGUUACCUACAGAAGAAGCAUCGGCUAACUCUGUGCCAGCCGCCGCAGUAAUAC
rnacentral:rRNA from 1 species